AAAGAGUUAUUGUUACAAAGAUUCCAAGAGAUAGAGCAAACAGCUAGGGAACAAGCAACCGAUAAUGCUAUAUUAGAUCAUACUAGUAUUUCUAAGAUGGUAGAAGUUGAUAUACCUCGAUCCUUGUUUGAGGAACAAGGUAGACAGCAAGUAUCACCAUAUUGUUUUUCCAACACUAUUUUCUUUGAUCCAAAACCAACAACUUGAUCGACCUCUGAUUCUUCAUCUUCAUAAGUUCAUAUACCUUUUCAAACAUAAAUUUCAAUUCAACUUGUACAAAUUUGCUACCCAGCCUCUAACCCCAAAAUUUGUUCAUAAAACCUCAAGCUUUUUCUUAGUUCUUCCUAGUACCAUGUUACCAUAUCCGUUGCCGGAGAUCCUUUUGCUGGAGUUGAAGCUACUGCUUUGUAGGACAAUAGCUUCUUUUUGUGUUCAUGGUCGACUGUAAUUUCUUUGAUUAAGACCAUAUUUAUUGAGGAAAUCUUGAUGCACGAGUCUUAUGGGCAAGAUCUCCCCGGAUUUAAUCAAGAUAAAUUGGUAUCAACUUUCUCGCUUUAUCAACCAAGACAUAUUCAGCAGCAGAGACCCA